rnacentral:tRNA from 1 species
AUAGCUCAGGGGUAGAGCGUGUGCCUAGCAUGCACGAGGUACUGGAUUCAAUCCCCAGU